CGGGUGCGACGUGUUUCAGGUGCCCGAAGGCGAACCUCGCCGGAAGGUUAAACGGGAAACAGGUGCGCGAACGGUCGUCCGACAGGGCCUUCGCCAUGCCUGUGCUGCCCCCGCAACGGUAAGUGGACGCAAGGCGCAUCCAACCGCCACUGGACGACCAGUCCGGGAAGGCGAUGCGACCGGUCCGGCAUUCCCCGACGGGACGCCGGUCAGCCCACGAGCCCGGAUACCGGCCCGAACGCGCUAUGGCUG
rnacentral:ncRNA from 2 species